GGUGGCUCAGUGGUAGAGUGCUUGCCUCAUAUGCAUGAGGCCCUGGGUUCAAUUCCUCAGCACCA
rfam:Dipodomys ordii contig_23511, whole genome shotgun sequence.